GGAUCAAGCUACUAAGGGCCCAAGGUGGAUGCCUUGGCGCUAAGGGCCGAAGAAGGGCGUGGCAAGACUGCGAAAAGCCUCGGUAAGCCGUCUAGCAGGCGUAGCCGGGGAUGCCCGAAUGGGGAAACCCCUCCGAUCAACGUCGGAGACCCCUGCCUGAACCCUUAAGGCAGGGGAGGUAAGCGGGGGAACUGAAACAUCUCAGUACCUCGAGGAAAAGAAAUCAACCGAGAUUCCCCUAGUAGUGGCGAACGAACGGGGAACAGCCUAAACCUGAGAGGCUUCACGGCCUGAGGGCCCAUGUCUCUCAGGGGUUGCAAGGCCUAUCGGAAGGGGGCCUCAGUCCCCUUCAAGGAGUGAACAACCCCUACCCUAGCCGAAGGUCCCUGGAACGGGCCGCCACAGGGGGUGAGAGCCCCGUAGGCGAAAGGGGAGAGGCUCCUGAUGGGUCCUUAAGUAUCGCGGGACACGGGAAAUCCUGCGAGAAGCUGGGGGGACCACCCUCCAAGGCUCAAUACCCUUAGCGACCGAUAGUGAACCAGUACCGUGAGGGAAAGGUGACAAGCACCCCGGGAGGGGAGUGAAAUAGACCUGAAACCCUGGGCCUACAAGCCGUCGAAGCCCUUCCUGCAAGGGAAGGGUGACGGCGUGCCUAUUGAAGAAUGAGCCGGCGAGUUAAUCUGCGCCGCGAGGUUAAGUCCCUCAGGGAUGGAGCCGUAGCGAAAGCGAGUCCGAAUCGGGCGUUAGUGACGCGGAUUAGACCCGAAACUGGGUGAGCUAUCCAUGGCC
rnacentral:rRNA from 1 species